rnacentral:rRNA from 1 species
GCCGCGUGCAGGAUUGACGGCCCUAUGGGUUGUAAACUGCUUUUGUUUGGGAAGAAAUUUCUGUACGUGUACAGGACUGACGGUACCAGACGAAUAAGCACCGGCUAACUCCGUGCCAGCAGCCGCGGUAAUACGGAGGGUGCAAGCGUUAUCCGGAUUUAUUGGGUUUAAAGGGUGCGCAGGCGGAUUGAUAAGUCAGUGGUGAAAUCUCCCGGCUCAACUGGGAAACUGCCAUUGAUACUGUCAAUCUAGAGUACAGUUGAAGUGGGCGGAAUGUAGCAUGUAGCGGUGAAA